UGGGGAAUUUUGGACAAUGGGGGAAACCCUGAUCCAGCCAUCCCGCGUGUGCGAUGAAGGCCUUCGGGUUGUAAAGUACUUUUGGCAGGAAAGAAACGUCAUGGGUUAAUACCCCGUGAAACUGACGGUACCUGCAGAAUAAGCACCGGCUAACUACGUGCCAGCAGCCGCGGUAAUACGUAGGGUGCAAGCGUUAAUCGGAAUUACUGGGCGUAAAGCGUGCGCAGGCGGUUCGGAAAGAAAGAUGUGAAAUCCCAGAGCUCAACUUUGGAACUACAUUUUUAACUACCGAGCUAGAGUGUGUCAGAGGGAGGUAGAAUUCCGCGUGUAGCAGUGAAAUGCGUAGAUAUGCGAAGGAACACCGAUGGCGAAGGCAGCCUCCUGGGAUAACACUGACGCUCAUGCACGAAAGCGUGGGGAGCAAACAGG
rnacentral:rRNA from 1 species